rnacentral:rRNA from 1 species
GUGGAGAGAGAGAGAGAGAAAGGGACGCGGAGAGAGAGAGAGAGAGACGCUGUUUGGUUGAUCCAGUGAUUGAGUGUUGUUGUCGUACUGUCUAGUCCACUAGAGAGAGAGAGAGAGAGAGAGAGAGAGAGAGAAUAAACGUAGGCUAGACAAGAUCCCAAAUAGGGAAACACUCACUAAGCAAGUUACCUCUUUUUGCUUCAAAGAAAAAGAUACCUCUUUUUGUUUCAUCCUCGAUGUUCAAAGAUAGAUACGGACGUUUUCAUAUAUGAAGAGCAUUAAGUUUUGGGUACACAGGUGUACACAUACAACGAAGGGUAAAAGACUGAAUCAGUAAGUGAACCAUUGUUUUUGGUUUCUCUAAAAGUAUUCUAAAAACGUACUAAAGACGAGCAUCCUUUUUUUUUAAAUCCCAGUGAGCCUAUUUUCUUCGCUCUGGUAGUUAAAUAUACCUAACAAAAGAAUAUGGUGUUAAAGUAUCCUAAAAAUUCUUCUCUAAUUUGGGGUGGAUCACUUUUUAUCACCAAUCUGGAGUACCUUUAAACAUAAACACGGAGGGUGUGUAGAAGACAGUGAAGUAUAAGCGGAUGUCUUUAAUAAUCGUAGUUUACUCAGUUCAUUUAAGGGUAUAAUAUCAAAGGGUACCUGGUUUCUCCAGUAUUGUAGAGUUGGUAUGAAAAAACGGAUAAGUAUUCAAAAAUCUUUGGACUCAAGGUUUCUACGGGAAUAAUAACUAGUUCAUCACUUCCUUAACGUCAAAAACACAGGGUUUCUUGAUAACACUCGUAAGUAAGUAUUCUAUUGGUUCUUGUUUUCGAGUCGCAGAGACUUUAAUCUUUCAUACGUGACUAAAACCCCGAAGUAAUCAUUGAUAAAUGAAGUGACUACGAAGACAGUUGUGUCUAGAGGUGAUAUUAGAAUUCCCACCUGGAACUAACGGUGGUCACGAUGUUUUUCUAGGCGUUCUAAGAAACGUCGGAAGUUCUAGUUCUCUCCUAAUCCUGCUAGAGGAAGCUGUGGUUGUUAUUGCGUCAGUAGUAGCUGCCCGGCAAGCUAGGUGUGUUCGAUAGUACGUCCUAGUCUACGUUUCCUCCGUUCCACUAGUUCCCGCAGGUUUAGUACCCGCUGCCGUUCGGCCUUCUCUACCGGCCCGGUGGCGGCUCGUUGUCAGCGUUUUUCUUUAGUUUUAGUUUCCCCUUCCCCUUCCUCAGUGGCGGCGGCGGGCGACUCGUCGGUGUUCGUAUAGUAGGAGUCGGCGGGUGGCUCGUCGUCGGUGUCCGUAUGAUGGGAGUCGGCGGGUGACUCGUCGGUGGCCGUAUGGUGGUCGUCGGCGGGUGACUCGUCGGUGUCCUUAUGGUGGGAGUCGUCGUGUGGCUCGUCGUUGGCCGUAUGGUGGGAGUCGGCGGGCGACUCGUCGGUGUCCUUAUGGUGGUGGGAGUCGUCGGGGGAGGCCUGUCUCUCUACAGUCGCUGGUACGUCCGCCAGUCCCUCCUCCUCUCCGGCUUUCUCUCUGGCCGGCUCGAACUCUGCGGUUUCCUCUACGUCCAGGUGAAGCACGGUCUUCGUCCCGGUCUCACGGUGUUCUUGGGCUCCCUCUCCUCCGUGGGCUACCCUCUCUACGGCAGCACCUUGCCCGGCGGCUACCACCUCUAGGGGAGCGACGGCCGCGCUGGACACCCGAGCACGGCGACGUGCACGACGCGCAGUACGAUGGUCCCCAUGAUGCCUUCAACGUCCACGAGUCUGACGCCGUCCUGCAUGCCGAUGUGGCGGCGGCACCGCGACGGCGGCGGUCGGCCGACGAUGCCACCGCGUGCGCGCGGCAUGACGCCGCCUAUGUCGCCGAUGGCCCAAUAGACGCUCCUCCUAGUUCGCCCACGAACGUAGUAUUACACUAGACAAGUGACAAAGCACACGGUGUUGGUAACACGACGAAUCCGUUUAAACGUACACAAAACGCACAGAACUAAUGGUUACUAAGCACAUACGUAGACGAUACGUACUUAGUAAAAACAUCCCCCCCGAAACGUACUUAGCAGCGGUUGGCUACGAGAGGGUAAGUGUAGUCUAGUAAAGACUUUUCUGCUCUCUCUUAGCUACGGAAGGGAAAAAUAAUUUAUUUGAGCAAUAAGAACAAGUUAUUACAGAUGAAAAGAUGUACCACGGCAGUUUGUUGGAUCGUGAAACCGUCUAAGAACAAGCUAUCACAGAGGAAAAGUUGUAUCACCAAACUUUGUUAAAAAUCGUGAAACCGUUUAUUUACCACACACUCUUUAAGUAUGCCAAUUUACG